GUUUAAAUGGGUCUGAAUAUGUCACAUGUUCAGGAGUUUCGUUACAUGAUUAUGUAGUUUACACUUACAAAAAUAAAUAAAUACAUACAAACCGUAUUAAAUACAAUAUUGUACAAAUAAAAUUUUUUUUGGUUUCAUUUUUUGAUUUUAAUUUUAACUUUCUUUCCCGCCACUAAAAAUUCAAACCUCAACGGUCGCGAGGACAGUGAGGACAGCGGGUAUCACCUCAGGAUGGCGGAGAUGAUAAUUAGCGAUUAUUUCUGUAAAAAAGUUGGACAUUCUUAUUUCGAAUACACUCCUGAAUGAAAUGUUAACGUGAUUUAAGUAAUUUGGCGUCGAAAUCAGCGUUUGGGUGUAUAUGAAGGAUAUCUGAAGAUUACGAACUGCCCCAUCUUGUUGGUGAAGCGGCCCGUUGGGACAUUGAGGAAUCUGGUAAAAGUGAAGUGGCCCGCUGGGACGUUGAGGGGUCUGUUAAAAAUCCUGUGUGCAAUUGAGCGGUACAACACAAGAGAUUCAUCGGGAGACCAUGAUAUAAGCCCCCGCCACAAAACAACAAGAAGGUAAGAUAUGAGUUAAAACAGUGUUUUUUUGUUACUGCAACGCUACAAAACCUGUUUUUCCUCUUGUUUUUAACAUCAAAAGACAUUCUCGAUCUGAAUGCGGUAAGUCGAGCGUAGCAGGAAAUAGUGGUGAGAAUAUUUCCACACUCACUCCUCGUUAGUAUAGUGGUAAGUAUCCCCGCCUGUCACGCGGGAGACCGGGGUUCGAUUCCCCGACGGGGAGAGUACUCUUUUUUUCCCUCUGUGUGUGUUCACAGGAAAACUCAUUUAUAGACUCCCAACUGUAUAUCUAAAGAUUACCUGUGAAUAACAUAAUUGUUUUAUUUUAAAAUGAGACAAAACAUCUCAUUAGUAGAUCGUUUUACUUACGAAAAGAUGCUACUCUUCUAAACUAGACUUGUUUUUGUAGGUUUUUGCGUCUCUUUGAUUUUCCACUGACUUUGAAGUGAAAUAUCUAGAAAUGUUUUCAAAGCAGCUUGUGAAUCAUUAGUUAAAACAGCUCUGCUGUGUUGGUUAGCGUGUGGUGCUAAUAACGCCAAGGUCGUGGAUUCGAUCCCCGUAUGGGCCAAUGUUUAGCUUCUGCAAUGGUUUGAUUUAUAUUUUAACUUUUAAAAUCUGUUUCAUAAUAAUAAUAAUAAUAAGGAAAAAAAUUCAGCAUCUCGUGUGAUUUUGCUGAUUAAAGGUAUAGUUUAGUUAAAAUUCUAAAAGGCCCUGAAAAGGUCUUGAUGGUUAACAUUACAUAAUGUAUUUGCUAAUGUGAAUAACAUGAAUA
ensembl:lncRNA